AGUCUGCGGCAAUCGUGCUCUUAAUUUGGCUCCUGAAGGAAACGUAUCUUAUAGCACACAUGGGUGGAGGAGAGUUUGGUCUUUCAACCUUCUCGGCUUCUCUCUCUUGCAUCAUCUCCUUUCUCUCUCGAUUACUCUUCUCGGUUUUGUCUUAAUAGGGCCUCCUGGCCGUCGCGGAAGAAGGAGAGAGGUUUGUUUUGGGAGGAGAGAGGUUUGUUCUGAAUCGAAAUCAAAGGCGAGGGGUUUGUUCAGAAUCGAAAUCGAAGGCCCCUCACAUCGGUUAGAUGAGUCCUUGUUCAGAAUCGAAAUCGAAGAUCUUCUGAAAACGAAAACGAAAUCAAAGGAUGGAAGUGACCAAGCUUCAUUCUCUUCACAGCACACGAACGCACAGAAACAAGGCUCUGUUUCCAACGACAGUAGCAAGGCAUCACGCUUAAUGUUUGCUUAUCGCUGAUUGCUCUUAGUCAAGGAGAAGAUCCAAGGCAAGGAAUUUCCAUCGACCUACAAAGACCAGAGUGAUAGUCGCAGAGGUCCAUGGAAGCUUCAUUGUGCAAAGCUAGUCUUGUUUUAAAAUAGCAGAAUAUCUAUUGUCUCUCAGUGUAGUCGACAUCAGAGUACAUUCCCUUGAAUCCUGAGAAAAGGUCGAUUCCUUAAAGGUUGUAUUGAUGAUACUUAUGUAAUGAUUUCCACAUUAGGAUUUGUCACAACGUUCUUAAUA